rnacentral:lncRNA from 1 species
AUUUUAAUUGCUCCAUACAUUUAUUCAUCAGAAAUCCUCUCUCCCCAGCAGUUUGGAAAUGUGGAAGUAUCUGAAUGGCAUACAAGCAAAAUCUGGCUGGGGAAAUGCUGCUAUGGACUGAAGGCUGAUUGUGAGUCAAGUCUGUAUCUGCUGAGGAAGUUAAGUGAUGCACCCUCUAAUUAAGCCCCUGCAGCACUUUCCUCCUACAUAAAUGGGCUGGUGGGUUCCUGGUUGUUCCUGUGGCCACCAGUGCAGCUGAGGGACCCAUCUGAGUGACAGGUUCUUCUCUCAACUGUUUGAGUUUGAAAAGCAAAGACAGCCAAGAGGAAAUUGUUUUGGAGAGAAGUGAUAGCCAACCUGGGAUAGCAGUCAAGGAAAUCUCAGUGGUGACACAAUUCAGUUACAAGGAGGGGAAGUUCCUGCAGAUCCCUAGCAAGCUGGGCCACCACCACCAUUCCCAGGUGAGCUG